GACGAACGCUGGCGGCGCGCUUAACACAUGCAAGUCGAACGGAAAGGCCUGCUUUCCCUUGUAGAUUGCGGGUACUCGAGUGGCGAACGGGUGAGUAACACGUGAGUGAUCUGCCCCCAACUUGGGUAUAAGCCUGGGAAACUGGGUCUAAUUCCCGAUAGGACUGCAGGGUGGUGCCUGUGGUGGAAAACGAUUUUCUAGUGGUUGGGGAUGAGCUCGCGGCCUAUCAGCUUGUUGGUGGGGUAAUGGCCUACCAAGGCGGCGACGGGUAGCCGGCCUGAGAGGGUGGACGGCCACAUUGGGACUGAGAUACGGCCCAGACUCCUACGGGAGGUAGCAGUGGGGAAUAUUGCACAAUGGGCGGAAGCCUGAUGCAGCGACGCCGCGUGGGGGAUGACGGCCUUCGGGUUGUAAACUCCUUUCGACCGCGAGGAAGCCACCUGGUUGGAAGGGUGGUGACGGUAGUGGUAGAAGAAGCACCGGCUAACUACGU
rnacentral:rRNA from 1 species